AACUCCUUGUGGUCCCUGAUCCCACCCAAACACCUCCCCCCACGCCCGGUACACAGAUAAGAGAUGGACAGAUUGAUCGGUGUUUCCUGAAAACGUGACAGUGCACGUGGAGAGACCAAGAGAUGAAAAAUAGGAAAGGGGGUCCUGUGAGUUCCACACAGAGCGCUGAAGGCUCCGUUGGAAGAGCUCCGGUCCUGGGGCCAGGAGAGAACACAGCUGCAUCGAAGGUCCUCUCAGUCCCACGCAAGAAUGCCAGGAAACCCAGGACAGAUCAGCAGAGUCCAGUGCCAAUGUGGAUGACUCGGCACCCCCCUCGGUGGCCCAGCUGGCCGGGCGGUUCAGGGAGCAGGCUGCCACUGCAAAGGAGACACCAGCCUGUAAACCGACAAGAAGGAAACCACCCUGCUCCCUCCCCCUGUUCCCCCCCAAGGUAGAGCUGGGCCAGAACGGUGAGGAGGUAAGUGCUAUGUCAGAGCUCAGGGGGUGCUGGCUAUGGAUCUGCUUUCUCCUUCUAGAGGAGAGGGCACAAAAUGCGCACAUUUAGGCCUUGGAACCUGCACAGGGAAUUUCUCCCUUUCAGAUUCAGGGAUGAAGCUCCUCUUCUUAAUGCUUCUGGAAUCCUUUACUUUAGACACCAGGUUCCUUUCCACUCUUUCUCAUGGAGACUCCUUUAGGAUUUGUUUAGGACUGGAGCACUGUUCUCCAAGCCAGAGAAUUUCAACAAAGAGAACAAACGGGCCAUAGAGUAUUACCACGCCAGGUUCAGGAGUCACCAAGGUUAUGUUUCACUCCAGGUCUGACUUCUGUGAUCUUCCUUGGGCAGAAGGCGCCGGGAAAGAGAGGCCACACUUACAUAAGGCAGACUUGCCUCAUGAGAGAGAGUGCCGUGGUUUCGUGCUAUCCUUGUAAAGACUGGCUGUUGUUUUGGAUCACUGGAAGACAAUCAGAGCACACAGAGGCCUCGUUGCCCUCACAUAUAAAUAGCCGAUGUUACCAACAAAAGAAAGGCUCUGGUAUCACAGACCGUAGCCAGCAACAGAUUCCCAGACUGGGUAGGUACCUACCCUGAUCUAUCUCAUCGUAGCUGUAAGAGUGACUUCUCUGCUCCCCCUCCCAGCAGCCCAUGAACCUUCAUCGUGGUCACGUCACGGUCCCCCAGAAAUGAACUUGCAUGUUCUCUCGUCCAGCCUGGAAGACCAACCCCAAGAGAGAGCAAGGAAGGCAAAGACACCUCAGUUCCCAAAUCCCACGUCAGCUACCUCUCUCCUCCUUCCUUUUUGGGGACCAGCAACCUGACGAUAGACACUAGAUACCUGUGUGACCUUGAGCAUCUAUGGUAGUGAACGUGUGGAGUAGGGCGACAGUUUCAAACCUUUCCCACCCAAGGCUUACAGGCCGAAGCCCAUCAGAGAAAGUGCAAAUUCGUUGCUGCCGGUCAAGUGGGGUGAGGGCAUCUAGAGCCCCACUGCUAUGAGGUUACUCCCCCAGGCCCUGAACAAGUGUCUUCUCCUGGAAUGGGAAUCCCAAGAAACACAGUUUUUAAAAACUGAGUUUUUUGUUGGAAUUUCUUCGAGCACUAACAUUAUGAUUCUGUGGCCUCAUGGAGUUAUUAGCCAGUGCUAUGACCAAAUACAUUCCAACAACUUCUCUUUACGGAGGGUCAACUUCUCCUUGUGACUUUCAGCCCCUGGGCUUGGUGUCGGUGUCAGGCCACAGGCUGAGGCCGUGGCCCUUGGGAGCCUACUGUGAGGCUGCCCCCUGAUGACCCGGGCUCAGCCCUGGAGAAGCCCCUGUCUUGCACUGAGCCUGCUUCCUUAUUUGUGAAAUGGGGACACGAACACUAACCAGACAGAUGACGGGGGCUGGAUGGGGACGUUUUAUUCCCUGGAAUAAAAGCAGAGGGAGUCAGUUUAGUUCAGAGGCUCUGGGAGAAAUCAAUCUACAGGUUCAUCCCAUGAGGCACCACCCGGCAGUGAAACGGGCUCUAGGAGCCAAGGGCAAGAUGAAUAGGAGGGUGGAUUUUAGAAGAAAAAGUCCGGCCUGGAGUGGCAGGCUGCGUGCACAUAGGAAGGACAUUGCUUCCAGGAUCGAUGAGUUCUUGUCACCUUGGAAAUCACAUAGAAAUAAGAAGAACCACCAGCUUUGUCUGGCUGGGCUGGAGAGAGGCUUCUGCCUGUAGGAGCCCUAAUUCCCGAAGCCUCGGAGGGGGGCCUGGAGGGCACGGCCCCAGGCAGGCGACUCCUCGGUGCAGGGAAGGGUCUUUGCACCCCUUGUUCAUUCCUGCCCCUCCCAGGCCUGCUCAGGCCUGAGACCGUGGGGUGACUCCUCUCUGGAGGACCCAACCACAAGAAUAGUUAGCAUGGCCGUCUGCAAAAGCGCUGAAAAGCACUCCCAUCUGAAAGAUCAGCUUCGUAAUUUCUAGGCAUUACAGGAACGUCAUGCGUAGACGUAUAUGCAUACAUCCGGAGCUUGAGGCAGGUGCCCUCGCCCCCCAGGAUGGUGCUAGACCCAGCCGCUGGCCUGGAAUCCUGUUAAAUGGCAGAGGAAAUGCUGCCCCCUGCUGCCAAGCGCAGGAACUGCGCCAGCCGCUAUUGCGGAGCCUUCCUGCUCUGCGGCUCGCUUCUAAUCAGCACGGACGUCGUGGAGCAGGAGCUGGGUUCCCAGCGCUGUCCUAUAGCGAAGAGGCUGGUUAUCGAAUGUCCUCUCUCUUCGGAAGGUAGUGGUCUCUUGGGGAAGAGAAGAGUUUCUGGUAUUACAUAAAGUGAGCUUUGUCAGCAGAAUCCUUGCCGCCGGUCCCAAAACAGUGUCUUCAGAAAUAAUCGCUCCUGUGAAAUUUCACCAUAAAGCACAGAAAUUAAAAACAACUGAUUCGGGGCUGGAAGCCGUACUCCUCAGGGACACAUGGCUCCUUGCAAGACUGCUCUCGGAAUACGUCUGACAGCGUAAACUCAUGUGGCCGGAGGUGCCUUCACGCUGGAAGAGUCCUUAGAAUCAUUUUUAAUUUUUUUUCCUCCCCGGCUGCUUGAAGCUAGGCCGCCAUCAUGAACGACACAGUAACUAUCCGGACCAGGAAGUU